GGUUUGUGGCUCAGUGGUAGAGCGCUUGCCUCAUAUGUGUGAGGCAUUGAGUUCGAGUCUCAGAACCG
rnacentral:tRNA from 1 species